GGAAUCUUCCACAAUGGGCGAAAGCCUGAUGGAGCAACGCCGCGUGUGUGAUGAAGGGUUUCGGCUCGUAAAACACUGUUGUAAGAGAAGAAUGACAUUGAGAGUAACUGUUCAAUGUGUGACGGUAUCUUACCAGAAAGGAACGGCUAAAUACGUGUCCAG
rnacentral:rRNA from 1 species